rnacentral:sRNA from 1 species
UGCAUUGAUCGGCGCUCGACCCCUUCGGGGA